UCUGCCAGUAGUAAGAUGUAAAUGUUGAUUUCAAAUAAUAACUUGCUUUUUUAUUUAGUAUGCUCUCUACAUCGCCACUGGAAGAGCAUUUGAUUUCAGUCAGGAAGACAUGCCACAGAUUAGAAGAUGGUGGUGUCUUCUCUUACUUCGCAAAGCCAGCAUUAAAGCCAAGACUUCGGUCUUCACUUUCCACACGAGAAGAAGGACAUUCAGUGUACCACAGGUAGUGCUUCGUAAUUAUCAGUUGAAAAGUUUUCUGACACUAAUUUUAAAUAUUAGAACUUCACAAAAAGACUUUGAACAACUGGUCACACAGCAGGUCUCCGG